rnacentral:rRNA from 1 species
CACCGCGGUUAUACGAGAGACCCCAGUUGAUAGAUACGGCGUAAAGAGUGGUUAUGGAAAAGACAAAUAAAGUCGAACAAUCUCUUAGCUGUUAUACGCACCAUGAGAACACGAAGCCCCUUCACGAAAGUAACUUUAAUACCCCCGACCCCACGAAAGCUAAGAAA